rnacentral:tRNA from 1 species
GGGACAUUAACUCAGUUGGUUCAGAGUGUCACGUCGACAACGUGGAAGUCAUUGGUUCGAAUCCAAUAUGUCCCACCA